rnacentral:rRNA from 1 species
AACGAACGCUGGCGGCAUGCCUAACACAUGCAAGUCGAACGAGACCUUCGGGUCUAGUGGCGCACGGGUGCGUAACGCGUGGGAACCUGCCCUUAGGUUCGGAAUAACUCCCCGAAAGGGGUGCUACUACCGGAUAAUGUCUUCGGACCAAAGAUUUAUCGCCUUUGGAUGGGCCCGCGUUGGAUUAGCUAGUUGGUAGGGUAAAAGCCUACCAAGGCGACGAUCCAUAGCUGGUCUGAGAGGAUGAUCAGCCACACUGGGACUGAGACACGGCCCAGACUCCUACGGGAGGCAGCAGUGGGGAAUAUUGGACAAUGGGCGAAAGCCUGAUCCAGCAAGGCCGCGUGAGUGAUGAAGGCCUUAGGGUUGUAAAGCUCUUUUACCCGGGAUGAUAAUGACAGUACCGGGAGAAUAAGCUCCGGCUAACUCCGU